AAAAUUAAUUGCUCUAAAUUCUCCUAACAAGGAUAAUGUAUUAGUGAUGAGAGAGCCAAAACAAGUUCCAUUGACUUUACCUUGUUUCAGAGCAUUCACAACUUCUAGAUUAUCGCUCUCCAAAAUGACAUCUAUGAAGCAACAAUCUUUUCCAAAAUUCACUCUUAAAAUACGCAGCCAAUGCUUCUGCUUCAUAGACUUGUACGCUGAAAGGGAUGGGUCAUAUUGUUGCAGCUAAGACAAGGCCCAAAGAGUCUCUCACCACCGCUCCAAUUCCUCUCGGAUUACUCUUCCUAAAUGUUGUGUCAACAUUUAUUUUGAAUAGGGAGUUUGGUGGGGAAUUCCAUCUGCUUCUUGAUUUUGCCAGCAGGAGGAUGCUAAAGAGGGACCUCUCCUUCUUCUAAAGCUUUUGCAUCAUCUCAAUUACCCAUAUCUUCAAGUUUUGACUGUCUGAUGCUUCAGUCCUCAAAUUAAAAGGGGAUGUAAACAAAAAUCUUCGAGCAAUGGGGCAGUCUCUGGCCAAGUGGGAUUCGGUUUCCUCAUGGCUCCAACACCUUAUGCAUGUCGGGUUUCAUGCUAUUCCUUUCCUUGAAAGGUUCUUUUUUGUUGGGAGGGAUCUUUGGAGUAGACGUCACAAAAAAUUAAGGACUCCUGGCAGAAUUUUUGUCUUCCACACUUCUUUCCAGAUCCACUCUCAGAUAGGCGGCUACUUGGGCUGCUGUCAUAGGGGGUUGGCCAAAACCUUCUCCAAUAUCAUGAUCAUUGGUUCCGACGACAUUGUCAGCCAUGGUCCCAGCCUCAUGUUACUAUCCUAACUUUCCUCCACAUCUUUUGUUGUUGUCUCGCACGCGCUCUCUUCAUGACCUAUUCUCCUGCAAUAAUAGCAACAUGUUAGUAGUUGUUCAUACAUGAAGUCAACCCAGGACCAAAGACGAGUUAUCCCUUCUUAGUUGCUACUUUGGGGUGGCUCACAACCAGGGACAGAGGCUUUCACCAUAGAAAAAUGGAUGUUUAGCACUACACUUCUCAAACCCUAGGAGAGCAAACCUUGGGAUUGGAAAGAGAGGGUUCUUUAGUAAAGUUUAGAAUCUACAACUAUGAGAAAGCUAAAAAUGAAGAGUUAGAACAAGAACAAGAAAACAAAGAGUAAGAGGAUAAAAAAUUGGAGUAGGAGAAAGAAGAAUAGUUUAGCUUUAGUUUUCCUAUCCCAUAAUUUCGCCAGUUUCUGCCGAUAAUGAAUUUAAUAAUGGCUAGAUCUACCUUCGAUCAGAAUCUUCUUUUUUUUUCUUAGACGAGUAUGAGUACGAGGCAAAACAUAACUAUGGCUCCCGUAGAUGGAACAACAAUGCGGCGAGUCUCCAUUUCCUCAUUAGCGGCAUUGAUGGCUACAGUACCAAAGAGACUUUAUUAUGAGUUGUUACUGAAGAUAACGAUGAAGAUCUAAUGUUAUUAACUUUCGGUGGUUAAUCUCAAUGGGUUUACUUUAAUUUCAUCUUCUGACAUCUCCAGAGGUGAGGGAGUUAACUCAUUAAUAGUUGUAUUUGGAUGAUGGGUGGCAAUCAUUAAAACUAUGUUUCGACAAACCUGAACCUGACCAUGGAAGUUUUUAGCAGAAAGAUGUUAAUUGAAGUCCAAAGAUUUGAACUUUGAGAAACAUUUGAUGAUAGGUGUUCACUGUUCAUCAAAGUUUCAAUUUUCGUUCAUGGCUUCCCGUUAAACCUUGGUACCUUUUUACAUUUUUGCAAAUUAUAAGAUGAAUUUGGGAUUCAAAUUAUGACUAAUUUUUCAAUGGAUGCAUCUAAUGUUAUGUCUAAAUUGGAAGGUAAUAUUGUUAAUACACAUUCAAAUGGUUUAACUUUUACAUCCAGUUAGAUCAAAAUUGGUGGGUGUUAUGGUGUUCAGGGAGAGAAUUUUGAUUUCAGAAGAGGAAGAGGUAGAAAGGAAAGAGAAAAGGAAAAAAUGAGUUAAGUCUCACUUUGGUCAUUGAGAUUGGCGAGUUGUGCCCGAUUUAGUUCCUGGCUUUCUAAUUGCUAUAACUAAAGUAUCAAUUUUACAAUAUAUUUGAUUUUUUUUCGAACUCAUGAAUUGGUAUGUGGAAUUAGUUUAUUUAUUAUUAUGUAAUUGCUGUGGUGAUCAAAGGUAUAGUGUUGUUUCUUCUUGUGCUAUUUAGUUUUUUUAAAUAAUGUUUUAGAUGUUUUGUUCAUAUAUUUUUUAUAAUAUUUUUUAAGAAAAUUUCGAAUGUGUUUUUUAAAAUGUAGCUCAAUAGUUUUUUGCCUGAGUGUUCUAGAAUCUUUUUUAAUGGGUGAAGAAUGUUAUUUAAAGAUUUUUUUACGGUUGUUACAAAUUGUAUUUUUUAUUAUUAUGUAAUAAUUGAUGUUAUUAUCAAAGGUUUAGUGUUGUUUCUUUUUGUGCUAUUUUGUUAUUUUUUUCAUACUAUUUCGGCUAUUUUUUAAAUAUAUACUUUUUGGAGUCUUUUGUAAGAUAAUUUCGGAAGCGUUUUUUAGUAUGUAUUUCAAUGGUUUUUGGCUUCAGUGUUCUGUAUUCUUGUUUUUUAUGUGUUAUGGAUGUUAGUUUAAAGAUUUUUUUAAUAGUAAUGCAUACACAAACAUGAAACCUUUAUAUAUACAAACAUUUGUUUAAUCUCAUGUAAUUUUGGAUAUCUUUGUUUAAUUAAGAGUUGAAUAAUAUUUGUUAAUGUAUUUAUGGUUUGAGCUUUGGGUUUUUAUGGUUAGUGUUUUUGGAUACGAUUCAAUGGUUUUAGAAUUAGUAUUUUAUUUUUAGAUUUUAUGACUUAUGAUUUAGUAUUUAGGGUUUAUAAGUUAGGAUGGAGGGUUUAUAGUUUAGAAUUUAAUGUUUCUUGUUUUGGGUUUAGGGCUUAGGCUUUUCGAGUUAGAGUAUAGGGUUUAGGGAUUAUUUUAUAGUGUUUUGGAGGAAAGGAGUGGGGUUUUAGUUUUAGGGUUAUAAUUUUGGGUUUUAGAUAUAUGGUUUACGAUUCAAGAUUGUUAAAUUCUCAUAUUUAGUUGUUUUUUUAUGUUAAAAUGAUGGUUUUUAUUUUAUUAGCCAUGUAUUUUGUGUUGGUUAUCGUAAAAUUUGAAUGGGCAUUGUAUCAUGUGUUUUAAUUCAUUAUGUUGAGUUAUUUACGUAUCACAUAUUGCGUAUAUUUUUCAUGAUGUUUGUUUAUAUUUUGAGGUUUUACCAAUCAACAAUAUGGUCGCUGGAAAAAGAAGGCAGACCUAAAAAGAAAUUGGUGGAAAUAAGGUGCACUCCAAGUUACAUACUUAGCAUCUUUGAGCAGCUUAUAAAGUCUAAUGUUGAGGCAAAGUUGUUGGAGAUAAAUGCCAUGGAAUUUGGGUUUUUACAGUUUACCCCUCGAUGGACAUUAAAGCAGAAAAUCAUGGUAGCAUUGGCAAGAUCAUAUGACCUAGCCUCAAAUAAAAUGGAUACCAUCAGAGUUAAUGCUGCAAUAGUUGGGCAAGUCUUUGGGUUGCCAUAAGCUGAUAAGGGAUGAUUUUUCAGAAUUUGACAAGGAGAAUCCAACGCACAUGGCAAUAGAGAAUCAAUUUAACUGUGCAACAGCAACGGAACUUCACGACUACAUAUAAGAGUGCUCCAUGGGUAGUGAAGCUAAUAGGAUGGAAGUUCGAAGAUAUUUUAUAUUACUUUUGAUGCAUAUGUUCCUCUGCCCAAUAACACAGCAAGUCUUGUCUCUUUGGCAUAUUCCUCCUGUUCUAGAUGUUUCAGAUCCUAGUCGGUUCAACUAGCCAAUGAAAAUCUUCAAUUGGCUGAAGAAGGCUAUCUAGAGAUACUAGCUUAGACACAACUAGACAUGUGAAGGAUGCUUGUAUGCCUUGCUGGGUUGUCUUACGAUGCUUUCUGAAAAAGUCACUUUCGUUAAGAAAAGGCGAAAAAGGACACCGCAAAAGAAAACUAAGGAAAAAGAUACUUCGUAGCAAAAAAAGUGUCAUCACCUGAAGAAGAAGUUGACGAGGAUACUGAGCCCAUUGUAAAGAGGAUACGCCGCUUGAAUCAAGCUAGUUGCAGGCAUGGUAAGACGAAGAAGGAGGUUGACAAAAUCAUUCAUCAGAACAACAAUAUAGAUGAAAAGGACAACAGAUCCAAUGAUGUCAACAAACAUACGUUGCCAAACGAAUCAUAGUUGAAACCAAUGAAGUGACUAAUCAACAAGAAAAGUAUCCGUAGCUUUAGUGUUUGAUGAAAUAUAUCAUUAUGGAUAUUUUUUUUACGUUAUAUUGAGUGUUUCUUUUAUAUUAUAAAUCAUGUUUUUUUAGUUACUAAGUAUAUUUGUUCAUCCAAAUGUAGAUGUUGUGACUAACAACUUGUUUUUAUUCAUGUUGUUAGAGUCCCUGAACAUGAUGGUGCCUGAAUUAAUGAACAAACCAACAUAAUUGAAAAUGCAAAAAAUGAAUCCAAUAAUAUGAAACUAGAUUCCCCCUCGAACAAGGCACAGAGUAAAACCAAUUUGGAAGAGUGCCUUGCUGAGCUGGAAAGGUAAGUGACAUUUCCUUAAAAUGACUUUCUCAUAUUAAACAUUUCUAUAUGAAUGAUGUUCUUACUAGUGUAAGUUUUUAUAUACAGGAACACUGACAUCUUGUCAAUGAGAGAUUCGUAGUGUGAAAAAUUGUGGCAAGAACUUAAACAUAAUUAAAAAAAGAGCUUGUAAAACGGACUAUACAAAAAUGAAUUUAAAUUAUUGCAUCCUUGGAACACCGAGCCCUUUGAAGCUGUCAUUUUUGACAUCCUUUUUUAAGAUAUUCAAAUUCAAACAACCACAUACUCGUUAGUAAGUGUAAGGUAUGUCUUGUUUGGUCGUAUUCGAACCUCGUCAUUGUCCUCAAUCACACACUUAACAUGGAUACUAAGCUCUCUAUUUUGAUGGUAGUGGAUUGAUUAUUUAGACGAACAUAGAUGUAAAUGCUUUAAUUCUAAUCUUGACAUCAUCCAAAUAAUCUUUUCCUUGUCCAACAUGACAUACAUCCUUGUUGCAUUUGGUAGCCUAUAUCUUAUGUGCUCGAGUUGCUGCCUUUACCCGAGUUACUCGAUUCCCUUCACGAGUGCAAUGGAUGGAUCGGUUGA